UGCAGUCGAGCGGCAGCGGGAAGUAGCUUGCUACUUUGCCGGCGAGCGGCGGACGGGUGAGUAAUGUCUGGGAAACUGCCUGAUGGAGGGGGAUAACUACUGGAAACGGUAGCUAAUACCGCAUGACCUCGCAAGAGCAAAGUGGGGGACCUUCGGGCCUCACGCCAUCGGAUGUGCCCAGAUGGGAUUAGCUAGUAGGUGAGGUAAUGGCUCACCUAGGCGACGAUCCCUAGCUGGUCUGAGAGGAUGACCAGCCACACUGGAACUGAGACACGGUCCAGACUCCUACGGGAGGCAGCAGUGGGGAAUAUUGCACAAUGGGCGCAAGCCUGAUGCAGCCAUGCCGCGUGUGUGAAGAAGGCCUUAGGGUUGUAAAGCACUUUCAGCGAGGAGGAAGGGUUCAGUGUUAAUAGCACUGUUCAUUGACGUUACUCGCAGAAGAAGCACCGGCUAACUCCGUGCCAGCAGCCGCGGUAAUACGGAGGGUGCAAGCGUUAAUCGGAAUUACUGGGCGUAAAGCGCACGCAGGCGGUUUGUUAAGUCAGAUGUGAAAUCCCCGAGCUUAACUUGGGAACUGCAUUUGAAACUGGCAAGCUAGAGUCUUGUAGAGGGGGGUAGAAUUCCAGGUGUAGCGGUGAAAUGCGUAGAGAUCUGGAGGAAUACCGGUGGCGAAGGCGGCCCCC
rnacentral:rRNA from 1 species